rnacentral:sRNA from 1 species
GCUAGUAUUUGUCAUACUGAUAACACUAGUACUUAAAGAAGUGGCCAAGCAACAUCUGAAUAUCUGAGCUGGGACUUCCAGCCCUUGUAGUGUAUCUAAUAGCGGCCUAGCUUGGGGUCUGGGAGAAAAACAGGACAUUUGCUUGUGUAUGACACAGGUGGACUGCAGCAUUUACAAGAAGUAUCCAGUGGUGGCCAUCCCCUGCCCCAUCACAUACCUGCCAGUUUGUGGUUCUGACUACAUCACUUAUGGGAAUGAAUGUCACUUGUGUACCGAGAGCUUGAAAAGUAAUGGAAGAGUUCAGUUUCUUCACGAUGGAAGUUGCUAAAUUCUCCAUGGACAUAGAGAGAAAGGAAUGAUAUUCUCAUCAUCACCUUCAUCGUCCCAGUCUCUGACUGAGUUUCUUUCAGUUUUACUGACGUUCUGGGUGGGGGACAGAGCCAGAUUCAGAGUCAUCUUGAUUGAAUGGAGAAAGUUUCUGUACUACCCCUACAAAUGCAUGCCUCACUGACAGACUAGUAUUUUUUUUAACACAUCAAUAAAAAAAUAAUCUCCCAGAAAGUU